GAUAACUUUAUCUAGAUUUCAAGAGCAAUAAUUAACUGUGCAGUUAUUAAGCGUAUGGUUUUGUGAGGAGUAACUUUGCCACCACGAACCUGCUAAGGCUUAUGAAAGAGAACGUGUAACAUUAAACUGUUGAGUUUGAGACUUGAAAGUGGAAUAUUUGUUGUGAACAUAGUUGUAAUCUACUUAGAUCCUUGACGUUACACUGCCACCUUCUGAGGUCCUCCUCCAAUGUCUAUGAGACUUUGUCCUUAAGUCCUGUUGUUCUCCAGAGUCUGUGUUCUUCGAGCCUGUCAAAAUCUGAGUAUACUCCGCUUGCACUUGCUUCCACUCUAACUUACUCAGACCUAAUGUGACGCCCACGUCCUCGCAGCGGCGGGAAAUCUGGUGAAACGUAAUCUGUUAGUCCCACCCACUUUAGCGAGCGGCGGGAAAGUAAGACCUGCAGAGACAGCUAAGAGGAUGAAUGUGAGGACUGUUUUAAGCUGACAUUUUCAUUCCAGGAAAAUUUCAAACUCCGAAAUCUACUCGGCUAAUCGAAGUACCAGACGGUGAUAAUCUCACUUUUCAGUGUGAAAUCCCCCCGGGAACCAACUUGAAGGACCGCUCUCUGGUUCUGAAACGAGUCGAUGGAAACACAAGUUACACCACACGUGUCAUCUACACCCGUCGAAAUGGAAAGGAAGAUCUUGGUUCACAGCCGGAGCAAUACAGAAACCGGGUAAUCUUCAUCAGUGGAGACCUGAGGAGAGGAUUCAUGACUGUACAGAUCCGAUCAGUCCAGCAGUCUGAUAGCGGAAAGUUCAAAUGGUUUAUCCCAAAAUCACACACCGCCUGUUUUUUUGAUGUUGUUGUGACAGAGAAGCAAAACCGUACCAAUGAGAAUGACACUAGCACAACAGCAACGUUAACAGAGGAAAUGCCAGAUACAGGUAAGACUCGCACAAUGAGGUCAUCGUUUUGUUUUUAA
rnacentral:lncRNA from 1 species